AGGACGAACGCUGGCGGCGUGCUUAACACAUGCAAGUCGAGCGGAAAGGCCCUUCGGGGUACUCGAGCGGCGAACGGGUGAGUAACACGUGAGUAAUCUGCCCCUAGCUCUGGGAUAGCUCCGGGAAAACCGGGAUUAAUACCGGAUACGACCACCUUAGACAUCUUUUGUGGUGGAAAGAAUUUCGGCUAGGGAUGAGCUCGCGGCCUAUCAGCUUGUUGGUGGGGUAACGCCUACCAAGGCGACGACGGGUA
rnacentral:rRNA from 1 species